GAGUACCCGCUGAACUUAAGC
rnacentral:rRNA from 1 species